GACCUGAUGGCACAAUGGUAAGUGUGUCUGUUCAAUGUUCCCCGCAUGUUCUCUCGUAUGCAGAAGAUCCCGGUUCGAAUCCGGGUCAGGUCA